GCCAGACUCCUACGGGAGGCAGCAGUAGGGAAUCUUUCACAAUGGGCGAAAGCCUGAUGGAGCAACGCCGCGUGCAGGAUGAAGGCCUUCGGGUUGUAAACUGCUUUUAUAAGCGAGAAAUAUGAUGGUAACUUAUGAAUAAGGAUCGGCUAACUACGUGCCAGCAGCCGCGGUAAUACGGAGGAUGCGAGCGUUAUCCGGAUUUAUUGGGUUUAAAGGGUGCGUAGGCGGACUGUCAAGUCAGCGGUAAAAACUGCGGGGCCCCCCCCCCCCCCCGCCGUUGAAACUGCAUCCCUUGAGUGCGCGAGAAGUAUGCGGAAUGCGUGGUGUAGCGGUGAAAUGCAUAGAUAUCGCGCAGAACUCCGAUUGCGAAGGCAGCAUACCGGCGCGCAACUGACGCUCAUGCACGAAAGCGUGGGUAUCGAACAGGAUUAGAUACCCUCGUA
rnacentral:rRNA from 1 species